rnacentral:rRNA from 1 species
CGCCUCGUGAGGGAUGAAGGUCUUCGGAUCGUAAACCUCUGUCAAGAGGGAAGAAACCCUUGGAUUCGAAUAGGGUCCUUGGCUGACGGUACCUCAAAAGGAAGCACCGGCUAACUCCGUGCCAGCAGCCGCGGUAAUACGGAGGGUGCAAGCGUUAAUCGGAAUCACUGGGCGUAAAGCGCUCGUAGGCGGUUUGGUCAGUCAGAUGUGAAAGCCCUCGGCUUAACCGGGGAACUGCAUUUGAUACUGCCAGACUUGAGUGUCGGANAGGGUGGCGGAAUUCCGGGUGUAGGAGUGAAAUCCGUAGAUAUCCGGAGGAACACCAGUGGCGAAGGCGGCCACCUGGACGACAACUGACGCUGAGGAGCGAAAGCGUGGGGAGCAAACAGGAUUGAUACCCUGGUAGUCCACGCGGUAAACGAUGGAUGCUGGGUGUCGGGGGUUUACCUUCGGUGCCGCAGUUAACGCGUUAAGCAUCCCGCCUGGGGAGUACGGUCGC